CUCCUUGCCACUCUUAAGAGGUGAUCAUUGAUCUGUUUCUCCUUCCUAAAAAACUAAAGACUACUCCCAGCCCAAGCCUCAUGGACCCAGCUAUCAUCAGACAAUUCCUAAUGCAGGUACCCAGAAAUAGCAAGUCAGGAUGUCAAGACCCUUGAAUUAGUUUUGAGGAUCAGUCUCAUAGGAGUCAACCUGUGAUACCAGUAUUUUUAUCCCUUUCAGUUGGAUCAUGUCUGGAAGACAACAAUGAAAGAAAGGGUAGACAAAGAGGGAUUGCUCAAAGCUAUUUGCUUCAUGCUAGUUCACUUUAUGGGGAACACAGUGACACACACCUAUAAUCACAGCUAUUCAGGACACUGACAGCUGGAAGAUCGCAAGUUCAAGCCCAGUCCAAGCAACACAGUGAGGCUCCAUGUCAAAAAGACUCCAUGCUCUCCAUGCAUGAUAGCACACACUUGUCCCAAUGAUUCAGAAGGCUGAAGAAGGAGGAUAGCAAGUUUGAGGCUAGCCUCAGCAAUUUAGCAAGGCCAUAAGAAAUUAGUGAGACCCUGUUUCAAAAAAUAAAAAGGGCUGGGUGCUGUGGUGCACAUCUGUAACCCCAGGGGCCCCAGAGGCUGAGGCAAAAGGAUCACAGGUUCAAAGCCAGUCUCAGCAAAAGCAAGGCACUAAGCAACUAGGUGAGAACCCUGUCUUUAAAUAAAAAUAUCAAAUAGGGAUGAGGAUGUGGCUUAGUGGCCAAGUACCCCUGAGUUCAAUCCCUGAUGCCCAAAAUAAUAAAGAACUGGCGAUGUGUCUCAGCCAUUAAGCACCUGGGUUCAAUCCUCGGUACCAGGGAUUUCCCCUUACCUCUACUCUUCCAAAGAAGAAUAAUGCAGAGCCAGGCAUGGUGGUACAGGCCUAUAAUCCCAGCAGUUUGGGAGGCUGUGGCAAGAGCAUGACAGGUUCAAAGCUAGCAUCAGCAAUUUGGCAAGGCCCUAAGCAACCAAAAGAAACCCUGUCUCUAAAGUAUAAAAAAAGCUGGGGAUGUGGCUUAGUGGUUGAGCUCCCCUGGGUUCAAUCCCCAGUUUUUUAUCUAUCUAUCUAUCUAUCUAUAUAUAUCUAUAUAUAUAGAUAUAUAUAUAUAUAGAUAUACACAUACACACAUAAUAAUACAGAAGCUGGGUGCAAUGGGAUGUGGAAGAUUAAGAUCCUGUUUCAAGGAAAAAUUAUGAGAAGUAAGAACACUACCACAGAGAUAAAAGUAUAAGUUGAACUCAAAGAUGAUUCAGCUUUGCAAGUAUGAGCUGUCCUCUCAAAUUCUCCCAGGGUAGGGCCUCACAUGUCACUCCCUUUGAUUAAUGUGUAAUUGCUGAAGUCAGAAUUUUUAAAAGAUAAUGAUAUUCAUUAACUGAGCUCGGAGUCACUUGUUUACUGUUCUUGUUAACUGUACUCAGAGCGCUGUAAUUAGCAUGUUAUGGACAGGAAGAAAAUGAUCAACUACUAUCUUAAAGAAACUUCCUUCACUUCUAGCCUUUUUUUUUUUUUUUUUUUUUUUUUUGUGUGUGUGUGUGUGUGUGUAAGAGAGAGAGAGAGAGACACUGGAUAUUUAACCCAGGGGCACUUACUUUACCACUAAGCCACAUCCCCAGCCCUUUUAUUUUUUAUUUUGAAACAGGGUCUUGUUAAAUUGCCUAGGGCCACUGGGCAUGGUGGCACAAGCCUGUAAUCCCAGUGAUUUGGGAGGCUGAGGCAGGAGGAUUUUGAGUUCAAAGUCGGGCUCAGCAAUUUAAUGACUCCCUGAAGAACGUAGGGAGACCUCAAAAUAAAACAGGAAGGGCUGGGUAUAAGGCUCAGCAGUUAAGUGCCCCUUGGUUCAAUCCCUGAUACCAAAAAAAAAAAAAAGUUGCUUAGGACCUUGAUAAAUUGCUGAGGGUGGCCUUGAACUUGGGAUCCACCUGCCUCAGCCUACCUUUUCUCUGGGAUUACAGGUAUGCUGCCUCCACACCCAGUUUUCUUUCUUUUUUUAAGCUAGUGGCAAUAUGGACAGAAGACUGAAAAUAGCAGUGAGGACUCUUUGUUCUCCAGAUGUAUGGUUUGGAUCUUAAGUAUCUUCCAAAUACUCAUGGGUUACAGGCUUGGUCCACAACUGAUGGUAUUAUUGGGAGCUGAUAGAAUUGUUUAGGAGGGGGCCUACUAGGAGGUAAUUGGGUCAUCAGGGGCAUGCACUUGAAGGACAUAUUGGGAUCCAACCCUUUUCUCUGUCUUUGAUUCCUGGCUGCAAUGAGGUAAGCAGCUUUGCUCCCGCCAUGCACUCCCCAUUAUGAUGUUCUAUCACAAGCCCAAAAGCAAUGAGCCAAGCCAACCUUGGACUGAAUCCUCUGAAACUGUGAGCUAAAUAAACCUUUCCUCC
rnacentral:lncRNA from 1 species